rnacentral:miRNA from 1 species
UUGGGCGCUAUCUACAAUGUAG